UACGGAGGGUGCGAGCGUUGUCCGGAAUUACUGGGCGUAAAGGGCGCGUAGGCGGCCUACUAAGUCAGACGUGAAAUCCCCCGGCUUAACCUGGGAACUGCGUCUGAUACUGGAAGGCUUGAGGAUGGGAGAGGGAUGUAGAAUUCCAGGUGUAGCGGUGAAAUGCGUAGAUAUCUGGAGGAAUACCGGUGGCGAAGGCGGCAUCCUGGACCAUUACUGACGCUGAGGCGCGAAAGCCAGGGGAGCAAACGGG
rnacentral:rRNA from 1 species